rnacentral:rRNA from 1 species
GCGGCCUAUCAGCUUGUUGGUGAGGUAAAGGCUCACCAAGGCGACGACGGGUAGCCGGCCUGAGAGGGCGACCGGCCACACUGGGACUGAGACACGGCCAGACUCCUACGGGAGGCAGCAGUAGGGAAUAUUGGGCAAUGGGCGAAAGCCUGACCCAGCGACGCCGCGUGAGGGAUGAAGGUCUUCGGAUUGUAAACCUCUUUCAGUAGGGAAGAAGCGAAAGUGACGGUACCUAAAGAAGAAGCACCGGCUAACUAUGUGCCAGCAGCCGCGGUAAUACAUAGGGUGCAAGCGUUGUCCGGAAUUAUUGGGCGUAAAGAGCUCGUAGGUCGUUUGUCGCGUCGAUUGUGAAAAUCUGAGGCUCAACCUCAGACCUGCAGUCGAUACGGGCAAACUAGAGUGUGGUAGGGGAGACUGGAAUUCCU